rnacentral:rRNA from 1 species
AGAGUUUGAUCCUGGCUCAGGACGAACGCUGGCGGCGCGCCUAACACAUGCAAGUCGAACGAGCGAGAGGAGGUUUACUUUCUCAAGCGAGUGGCGAACGGGUGAGUAACGCGUGAGGAACCUGCCUCAAAGAGGGGGACAACAGUUGGAAACGACUGCUAAUACCGCAUAAGCCCACGACCCGGCAUCGGGUAGAGGGAAAAGGAGCAAUCCGCUUUGAGAUGGCCUCGCGUCCGAUUAGCUAGUUGGUGAGGUAAUGGCCCACCAAGGCGACGAUCGGUAGCCGGACUGAGAGGUUGAACGGCCACAUUGGGACUGAGACACGGCCCAGACUCCUACGGGAGGCAGCAGUGGGGAAUAUUGCACAAUGGGGGAAACCCUGAUGCAGCGACGCCGCGUGGAGGAAGAAGGUCUUCGGAUUGUAAACUCCUGUUGUUGAGGAAGAUAAUGACGGUACUCAACAAGGAAGUGACGGCUAACUACGUGCCAGCAGCCGCGGUAAAACGUAGGUCACAAGCGUUGUCCGGAAUUACUGGGUGUAAAGGGAGCGCAGGCGGGAAGACAAGUUGGAAGUGAAAUCCAUGGGCUCAACCCAUGAACUGCUUUCAAAACUGUUUUUCUUGAGUAGUGCAGAGGUAGGCGGAAUUCCCGGUGUAGCGGUGGAAUGCGUAGAUAUCGGGAGGAACACCAGUGGCGAAGGCGGCCUACUGGGCACCAACUGACGCUGAGGCUCGAAAGUGUGGGUAGCAAACAGGAUUAGAUACCCUGGUAGUCCACACUGUAAACG